CACGUAGGGUGCGAGCGUUAUCGGAAUACUGGGCGUAAAGCGUGCGCAGGCGGUUUAUAAGACAGAUGAAAUCCCCGGGCUCAACCUGGGAACUGGCUUGUGACUGUAGAAGCUGAGAUGACGGUAGGAGGGGAGUGGGGAAUUCCGGACCGGUGUAGCAAGUGAAUGACGUAGAUAAUGCGGAGGAACACCGAUGGCGAAGGCAAUCCCCUGGGACCGUG
rnacentral:rRNA from 1 species